rnacentral:misc_RNA from 1 species
AUUGAACAUCGACAUCUUGAACGCACAUUGCGGGCCUCGGGCAUUCCCGAGGCCACGCCUGUCUCAGGGUCGGUUGAACUUAUCAAUCGUCGGUUGACCGUAUUUGCCGACGCAUUGGAUCGUCGCGGCUCGCGCUGACCGUAAAGGCGCGAUCGGCAUUGACCGUAUUUGUCGUUCGCGCUGCGCAGAGCCACGUCGUCCGAAGUACAGACGGGUCCAAAGCUUUGCCGACCGCACGUCCUAAGUCCGCCUGUCGGACGGGGACGGCGACUCGGACCGUAAAGAGAAGCCGUCGCCUGUUCAUUGGCGGUACGGUUGGCAAAGCUGAGGAACCACGAAGCGGAAAACGCGAGCGUCCAACGUCGUAUUCGGAACGAGCCGGCGGCCUAUUUACGUUGUAGGUCCGUCGCGUCUCGUACCGCUGUCGACCG